CUAGUAAUCACAGGUCAGCAUACUGUGGUGAAUACGUUCCCGGGCCUUGUACACACCGCCCGUCACACCAUGAGAGUUGAGAAUACCCGAAGUCCAUGUCAAAGUGGCCGAAGGUAGGCUUGAUGAUUGGGGUGAAGUCGUAACAAGGUAUC
rnacentral:rRNA from 1 species